rnacentral:misc_RNA from 1 species
GAUAAGAACGUAGCGAAAUGCGAUAAGUAGUGUGAAUUGCAGAAUUCAGUGAAUCAUCGAAUCUUUGAACGCACAUUGCGCCUCCUGGUAUUCCGGGAGGCAUGCCUGUUCGAGCGUCAUUAAAAUCACUCAAGCUUAGGUUUACCUAUUGCUUGGUCUUGGAGAUGGAAGCCAAUUUAUUGGAAUCCUCUUCGAAAUUCAAUGGCGAAGACCCUUGCUCUCCCAAGUGUAGUAAUAACUUAUGUCACUGAAGGAAGCGAGAAAUCUUCUGCCGUAACCCCCAUAUUUUCUAUGAUUGACCUCGGAUCAGGUAGGGAUACCCGCUGAACUUAAGCAUAUCAAUAAGCGGAGGA